GGCGCAUUUUGCCGAGGCGGAGCUCGGCCGUCGGCACCAGUCAUGAUCGCGUCGAUCGACCAUCGCCGCGCGGCUGAGGGGGGCGAACCGCGGCUCCC
rfam:Bosea sp. WAO WAO_contig_6, whole genome shotgun sequence.